CCCAGACUCCUACGGGAGGCAGCAGUGGGGAAUAUUGCACAAUGGGGGAAACCCUGAUGCAGCGACGCCGCGUGAGUGAAGAAGUAUUUCGGUAUGUAAAGCUCUAUCAGCAGGGAAGAAAAUGACGGUACCUGAUUAAGAAGCCCCGGCUAACUACGUGCCAGCAGCCGCGGUAAUACGUAGGGGGCAAGCGUUAUCCGGAUUUACUGGGUGUAAAGGGAGCGUAGACGGUGAUGCAAGUCAGAAGUGAAAGCCCGGGGCUCAACUCCGGGACUGCUUUUGAAACUGUGUGACUGGAGUGCAGGAGAGGUAAGCGGAAUUCCUGGUGUAGCGGUGAAAUGCGUAGAUAUCAGGAGGAACACCAGUGGCGAAGGCGGCUUACUGGACUGUAACUGACGUUGAGGCUCGAAAGCGUGGGGAGCAAACAGGAUUAGAUACCCCAGUAAG
rnacentral:rRNA from 1 species